rnacentral:tmRNA from 1 species
GGGGGCGCAAGGUUUCGACAGAGGCUGAAGGCAAAGGUGGCGAGUAGAGGUGGUCGCAGACCUCUUAAAUCACUGCGGCGCACAAUAAGUGCCAACAACUACCAAGUAGCUUACGCUUAAGCGUUAGCCGUCCUUCUCGGCUCUCACCCUGCGGGGCGGGAAGGGCGUCAAACAGCAGGGCCUCUCUGGUGAGCCCCGCCUGAGGGCAGCCAGGAGAAGCAAACUCGGGCUGGUUUCCGGAAAUCCUGCCUGUGGGAGGUCCGGGGACGAGAGAAAAUACAGGCUACGCUCGUAGAGGCCUUUGGGGUAAGCCUUUUGGACGCGGGUUCGACUCCCGCCGCCUCCACCA